rnacentral:rRNA from 1 species
UACAGAGGUCCCAAGCGUUGUUCGGAUUCACUGGGCGUAAAGGGUGCGUAGGCGGUCGGGUAAGUCUGUCGUGAAAUCUCCGAGCCUAACUCGGAAACUGCGUCGGAUACUAUUCGGCUAGAGGAAUGGAGGGGAGACUGGAAUUCUCGGUGUAGCAGUGAAAUGCGUAGAUAUCGAGAGGAACACCAGUGGCGAAGGCGGGUCUCUGGACAGUUCCUGACGCUGAGGCACGAAGGCCAGGGGAGCAAACGGG